rnacentral:rRNA from 1 species
GACGAACGCUGGCGGCGUGCCUAAUACAUGCAAGUCGAACGCAGUGGGGACGGGUGAGUAACACGUGGGUAACCUCCCAUCAGAGGGGAUAACACUUGGAAACAGGUGCUAAACCGAUACUGAUGGAUGGACCCGCGGUGCAUUAGCUAGGUGGUGAGGUAACGGCUCACCAAGGCCAAGAUGCAUAGCGGACCUGGGAGGGUGAAGGGCCACACUGGGACUGAGAACCGGCCCAGGAUCCUACGGGAGGCAGCAGUGGGGAAUCUUCCGGAAGUGACGAAAGUCUGACCGGGAAAAGCCGCGUGGGGUAAGAAGGGUUUCGGGUCGUAAAACUCUUUUGUUAGAGAAGCGGUAUCUAACCAGAAAGCCACGGCUAACUACGUGCCAGCAGCCGCGGUAAUAC